rnacentral:rRNA from 1 species
CGGGGGGGGCAAGCGUUGUUCGGAAUUACUGGGCGUAAAGGGCGCGUAGGCGGUUCGCUAAGUUGGAUGUGAAAACUCUGGGCUCAACCCAAAGCCUGCAUCCAAAACUGGCGGGCUAGAGUUCUGGAGGGGGUAGCGGAAUUCCUGGUGUAGCGGUGAAAUGCGUAGAUAUCAGGAGGAACACCGGUGGCGAAGGCGGCUACCUGGACAGAAACUGACGCUGAGGCGCGAAAGCUAGGGGAGCAAACAGGAUUAGAUACCCUGGUAGUCCUAGCCCUAAACGAUGGAUACUUGGUGUGACGGGGAUUGAAUCCCGUCGUGCCGAAGCUAACGCAUUAAGUAUCCCGCCUGGGGAGUACGGUCGCAAGGCUG